UGGAACUCAAGGAGUGGCUGAAGAAUCAGUGGAUAUUUUUAUAACCCACAUCCUGGCUUUCCAAAUCAGAAUCAUCCACUCAAGGAUGAAUGUUUUUAUUUACAUUGUUCCUUCUGUUUGGCUGAGUCAUCCAGCUAGAUUAGAACCUCUGCUUCUGCCUUCAGAGUGGUCCUGGGUGUUACUUGAUCAGCAUCAAACUUCUCCUCUGGACUUGUAAUGAUAGUAACUGGCAUUCAUUGAUUGCUAAUCAGUUUCUUACAGGUGCAGGGAUGCAUUUGAGCCAGAACUCUGAGUGAUCCCUGUGCUUCUGUAGCUGGUCCCUCUGUCUGCGAGCUGGGUCAUGCCGAAUGCCAGCCAUGGUCUCACACAUCUGUCUCCUCACUAGACAGCAAGUGCUGCUACAAGCAGGAAGGCCAUUACUGGAGAUCCCUGACUCCUGCCCAGCAUAUGAUGGAGGCCUGAGAAAAAAAUACACUAAGAGACAGAACUAAGAGAGAGACAGCAAGGUGCCAGGACAACCAAUGCCAGUGGAACCAUCAAAG
rnacentral:lncRNA from 1 species